GCAUUGUUGGUUCAGUGGUAGAAUUCUCGCCUUCAGUGUGGGAGGCCUGGGUUCUAUUCCCAGCCAAUGCA
rnacentral:tRNA from 1 species